UGACUAUUGAAGACUGCUGUAUUCAUCUUGAGUGUUUGGAGCACAAUGAUACAACUGUUCAACCUAUUUGAUAUGGAUUUCUCCUAUUCGGAAGAAAUUUCAACAACUUCACUUCUAACUUAAACACAUUCAUCGACUAGCCUGGCCAACAUGGUGAAACCCCGUGUCUACUAAAAAUACAAAAAUUAGCUGGGCGUGGUGGCAUAUGCCUGUAGUCCC
rnacentral:lncRNA from 1 species